rnacentral:tRNA from 1 species
GUGGGCGUAGUUCAGGGGUAGAACGCCGGUCUGUGGCACCGGAGGUCGCGGGUUCGAAACCCGUCGCCCACC